rnacentral:rRNA from 1 species
UACGGAGGGUGCGAGCGUUGUCCGGAAUCACUGGGCGUAAAGGGCGCGUAGGCGGCAUGACAAGUCACUUGUGAAAUCUCCGGGCUUAACUCGGAACGGUCAAGUGAUACUGUCGCGCUAGAGUGCGGAAGGGGCAAUCAGAAUUCUUGGUGUAGCGGUGAAAUGCGUAGAUAUCAAGAGGAAUACCUGAGGUGAAGACGGGUUGCUAGGCCGACACUGACGCUGAAGCGCGAAAGCCAGGGGAGCAAACGGG